GACGAACGCUGGCGGCGUGCUUAACACAUGCAAGUCGAACGAAGAGCGAUGGAAGCUUGCUUCUAUCAAUCUUAGUGGCGAACGGGUGAGUAACGCGUAAUCAACCUGCCCUUCAGAGGGGGACAACAGUUGGAAACGACUGCUAAUACCGCAUACGAUCUAAUCUCGGCAUCGAGGAUAGAUGAAAGGUGGCCUCUACAUGUAAGCUAUCACUGAAGGGGGGGAUUGCGUCUGAUUAGCUAGUUGGAGGGGUAACGGCCCACCAAGGCGAUGAUCAGUAGCCGGUCUGAGAGGAUGAACGGCCACAUUGGGACUGAGACACGGCCCAGACUCCUACGGGAGGCAGCAGUGGGGAAUCUUCCGCAAUGGACGAAAGUCUGACGGAGCAACGCCGCGUGAGUGAUGACGGCCUUCGGGUUGUAAAGCUCUGUUAAUCGGGACGAAAGGCCUUCUUGCGAAUAGUGAGAAGGAUUGACGGUACCGGAAUAGAAAGCCACGGCUAACUACGUG
rnacentral:rRNA from 1 species